UAUUUUUAGUUUUUAUUUUAGGGUAGAUUACACCAAUAGUCACUCAAUUUUGAUGCAACUGAAAAAAAAAGUCACUAUGGUUUCAAUUCAAUCAGUCAACUUUCAGAAAAUGACAAAUCGGUCACUACCGUUACAGAUGUAACAAAAAGCUCAGGUGGCCCAUUAACUUACCAUGCUAUCAUCCCACGUGGAAACGACGACCUCUACACUGUCCCCCAUUAACUUGCAAUAGUAGAAGAAGAAUAAAAAAGAAAACUAAAUAAAAAAAUGGAACCCAUGUGCUUGCUUUGCCAAAACAGAAUCUGACCCUCUCCUUCUCCCCCACCAUCCCUUUCC
rnacentral:lncRNA from 1 species